rnacentral:rRNA from 1 species
UACGUAGGAGGCGAGCGUUGUCCGGAUUUACUGGGCGUAAAGGGCGCGCAGGCGGCUCUCCAAGUACUCUGUGAAAUCCACCUGCUCAACGGGUGGGGUGCAGAGUAGACUGGGGGGCUUGAGGACGGUAGAGGGGGGUGGAAUUGCUGGUGGUAGCGGUGAAAUGCGCAGAUAUCAGGAGGAACGACCGGUGGCGAAGGCGGUCUCUGGGCCUUACCUGACGCUGAGGAGCGAAAGCGUGGGGAGCGAACAGGAUAGAUACC